UAGGAUUGUGUUCUACGCUGGGUUGCCCUGUAUUUUCAUCCUGCUCCUGAUCCAGCUCUCGAUCUUGCUCUGGAGAAAGUGCCCGACCAGAGGAAGAGCUGUGCAAAAAGGGAAUCCAAUACCGAUGAGGCAGAUCCCGCAGACUGAAUAUGCAGCUCUGACAUACAAUAAUAGAAAUGCUCCUCUGUAACUGACGGGCCCACAAAGAAAACAGGACA